ensembl:snRNA U2 U2 spliceosomal RNA
AUCGCUUCUCGGCCUUUUGGCUAAGAUCAAGUGUAGUAACAAGAAAUUCUUGAUAGGAUUCACAGUUUGUCUGGUUAUGCUGUACAGUAUAUAAUAAAUGUUCAUUUUUUUGUUCAACAAUAAAUGUGAAUUCUUC